UUGCCUACGGGGGGCAGCAGUGGGGAAUAUUGGACAAUGGGGGAAACCCUGAUCCAGCGACGCCGCGUGAGUGAAGAAGUAUUUCGGUAUGUAAAGCUCUAUCAGCAGGGAAGAAAAUGACGGUACCUGAGUAAGAAGCCCCGGCUAACUACGUGCCAGCAGCCGUGGUAAUACGUAGGGGGCAAGCGUUAUCCGGAUUUACUGGGUGUAAAGGGAGCGUAGACGGUACGCCAAGUCUGAAGUGAAAUGCCGCAGCUUAACUGCGGAACUGCUUUGGAAACUGGCGGGCUGGAGUGCGGGAGGGG
rnacentral:rRNA from 1 species